GCCCGGAUGGCGGAAUCGGUAGACGCGCUGGUCUCAAACACCAGUGACCGCAAGGUUGUGCCGGUUCGAUCCCGGCUCCGGGUAC
rnacentral:tRNA from 1 species